rnacentral:rRNA from 1 species
GACGAACGCUGGCGGCGUGCUUAACACAUGCAAGUCGAACGGAAAGGCCCUGCUUUUGUUGGUUUCUCGAGUGGCGAACGGGUGAGUAACACGUUUGUAACCUGCCCUUUACUUUGUUAUAUCUUCAGGAAACUGGGUCUAAUACCUGAUAUGAUCUCCUGCUGCUUUGUUGUGUUUGUUAAUUUUCGGCGGUUGGGGAUUGACUCGCGGCUUAUCAGCUUGUUUGUGGGGUAGUGGCUUACCAAGGCUUUGACGGGUAGCCGGCAUGAGAGGGUUAACGGCGACAUUGGGACUGAGAUACGGAACAGACUGCUACGGGAGGCAGAAGGGGGGAAUAUUGCACAAUGGGAGGAAGCGUGAUGAAGAAAAGCAGCGUGCGGGAUGAAGGGCUUCGGGUUGUAAACAGAAUUAGAAUGUGAAGAAGAGUGAGUGACGGUAAUGGGUAAAGAAGCACCGGCUAACUACGUG